UUUAUUUGAGAGUUUGAUCCUGGCUCAGGAUGAACGCUGGCGGCGUGCCUAACACAUGCAAGUUGAGCGAUUUACUUCGGUAAAGAGCGGCGGACGGGUGAGUAACGCGUGGGUAACCUACCCUGUACACACGGAUAACAUACCGAAAGGUAUGCUAAUACGGGAUAACAUAUUUGAGAGGCAUCUCUUAAAUAUCAAAGGUGAGCCAGUACAGGAUGGACCCGCGUCUGAUUAGCUAGUUGGUAAGGUAACGGCUUACCAAGGCGACGAUCAGUAGCCGACCUGAGAGGGUGAUCGGCCACAUUGGAACUGAGACA
rnacentral:rRNA from 1 species